rnacentral:misc_RNA from 1 species
ACAAACUUGGUCAUUUAGAGGAAGUAAAAGUCGUAACAAGGUUUCCGUAGGUGAACCUGCGGAAGGAUCAUUAACGAGUUAGGGUCUUCUAGGCCCGACCUCCCAACCCUAUGUUUAUUGAACCUCUGUUGCUUCGGCGGGCCCGUCUCACGACCGCCGGAGGAGUCGCCGCGAGGCGCCCCUCUGGCCAGUGCCCGCCGACGGCCAACCCCUUCAAAACUCUUGAAUCAAUCGUGUCAUGAUGUCUAAGUCUAUGAUUAAAUUAAAGCAAAACUUUCAACAACGGAUCUCUUGGUUCUGGAAUCGAUGAAGAACGCAGC